ensembl:snoRNA
CCCAUGACUAUAUGAUGAUAUAUAUGUUGGUAGGGACAUCUGAAUAAUAGUGAAGAAACGCCAACUAUUCUGACAGUAUGGG